rnacentral:piRNA from 1 species
UGGGUCCUCUUCCACUUCUUGACUGUGCAGU